ACAAUGGUAGUAUAAAUUAGUAUUUCUAUUUUCCAAAUAGAGGGUUUCUGUAGGAAUUAUUGUA
rnacentral:tRNA from 1 species